UACCAGCACCCCGAGUGGUCGGGACGUUUUAUUGGGCCUAAAGCAUCCGUAGCCGGUUCUACAAGUCUUCCGUUAAAUCCACCUGCUUAACAGAAUGGGCUGCGGAAGAUACUAUGGAGCUAGGAGGCGGGAGAGGCAAGCGGUACUCGAUGGGUAGGGGUAAAAUCCGUUGAUCCAUUGAAGACCACCAGUGGCGAAGGCGGCUUGCCAGAACGCGCUCGACGGUGGGGGAUGAAAGCUGGGGGAGCAAACCGG
rnacentral:rRNA from 1 species